GUCGGUGCGGGACGCUGUGCGGUGCGGUGCGGUGAUUUCGCGAUGCGCAGCGCCGGCAGUGCCUCCUCACCGCGGUCCCUCCACGCACCCAGCACAGCGGUUCUGAAAACGCGUAGACACGUGCGUGUGUGCCUGUUUUCCCCUAAGCCCGUAACAGGGAGGGCAGAAUGCAUUUCCAAGCACCAGAAAAAUCAUAGACCUGUGGACUUAUCAGAGAUGCUAGAAUCCAAAGAGCAGAACUUGGUCAACAUUCCCGUGUUCUCUGGAGAUGAAGGAUGGGCUGACUCUCCUUUCCUUCUUUAUUAGCUCAAGAAUGACAUUCCCGGAAAAAAAAAAAUCAGUUCUGAAGAAUGUAGAAGAUGGAUUCCAAAUCAAGCCUACACUUCUCCACCUUCUCAGUAUGAAUCUCUCCCACCCAAAGCAAACCCAGGGGAGCAGCUUCUGAUUCCUCUUUCAGGUGCACAAAGGCAGCCUCUCCCUAAAAUACCACAUUCUAACGUACUAUCUUCACUUGUUGUUAAUAAACCUGCUCCAUCCAGGUGUACUUUUAAAUACUGACAUGCACUUAAGAGGCACACUACAUUGAAGCUAUGGUAAAACUCUACCCAAGUACAAGCUAAAAAUAGUUCAUCUCUCUUUCUUCCAUAUAAAACAUGGAAAACUGAGUUAAUCUGAGUAGAACAUGCUCAGUGAGAAUAAAAGUGUGUUACACGUUACCCAAUGCAUUUGCAUUACGUGCAAAUAUGCAGUGUGUAUAUUUAUUACAUAGUAAUGUGCAUACAUACGCAAGUGCAUAGUUAUUACAUAGUAAGUUUCUCCAAUCCAAGCCACCAAUUCAAAAUAAGAAAAUCCAGCAAAGUUUUAGCCUACUCAAAGAUGUUAAAGAAACAGAGGGAUCUGAAUACAUCCCAAGAAAGACAGAAAGAAUUAACAAGGUCCCACAUGAAGACAAGUAGAUAUACAUAUCUGGGAGGUAAAUGGUGAAAAGAUGGAUAUAAUAUUCAUCAUUAAUUAUUAUAUUCUUGUUCUGAAUGCUCCAUGGCAGUAAUAGGAAUAUUUUACAAGGAUUAAGGAGGAUCUUUAGCCUGGAAGUAUUAAAUAAUUGUGGAGUGACCUAGCAUUUAUCCUUUGUCUUAGAAUAGCAUCUAGGAGCAAUGAUUAAGUGCUAACUGGAAUAAAUACAGCUAGCUCUUUUCAACCUCAAGAUUUGCCACAUAGGGGGAAAAAAAAAGAGAAAAAAUGGCUGGAUGAAAAUAUGAAGUAAGCCUUUUUACAGGACUUGUAGUAAUUAUAUCUUCGGUAUUUUUCUUCUUUGACCAUCUUUUAUGCACACUGGAAACAAGGAUCUCAUCUCAUGUCCUUCAGAAGAACGUGUUUUCAAAAUGUGAAGAAUCCAGCCAUCCCAUAAUUCUGUCCCUCUGUUACCUGUCGAUUCAAGCUCUGUAUGGUUAAUGUAACUUGAAGGAGGAAGGCAGGUCUUAGGGCUGGAAUACAAAUUUGAGUAUUAAGAAAGAUACUUCAGAUUUACUUUUAACAUGAUGGGAAUUCAUUUUCUGAUUUGUGCUAAAUAUCACCUGGCUUUAGGUCUCAUAAUUUAUCUCACGUAUCAUGUCUAGGGUGUAGCAAAUGACCCAUCUAUGACCGUGGAAACAUUUGGAAAGAAAAAUGAGUGGAGAUUUUGUUCUAUCGAGACAGCACUGAAGCACACCCGUUCCUAUCAAUAGGAUCUAUUUCUAGACCAUUAAAAUCAAAUCCAUCCCAUCUAAAAUGUAGAAUUUUGGCCCCUCAUAGAGGUGGAGUUUGGUAGAUAUGGACAUUUAUGCUACGGAUCCAGUAGUUUCAGCUCUUAAGUUUUCAUCAGUGAGUUACUAUGUCACAACCUCUGAAUGACCAAAUGGGAAUUGUGAAAAGGUGCCUAACAUUUCAGAAUGCAACUGGUCUGCAGCUGGCAGGCAUUUCCUCAGUUCAGACAAAAAAUAAAGUCACUAAAAAUCAACAGCUGAAUGAAUAUUCAAAGGCAUUUUGAAGAUGGAGGUGUAGGAAAUAAAAAUAACCAAUUUUUGAAUUAAUCUAAAAAAAAAUGGAAUGUAAAUAGUUUAUUUCACUGGACUUGCAUUUUCUUGGUUUCAGUGUCUAUUGACUAUGAGGAAAAAUGUGUAGAAGACUUAAAUAGUACUUCAUAGCUUUAUUCUCAGGCUGUCAAAUGUAUUCCUUGGGAUUGGGAUUUUUCAAGGGGUUUCAAUUCAUUCAAUUGAUUAUAAAAGCCAAAUAUAUAUAUAUAUAUAUAUAUAUAUAUAUAUAUAUAUAUAUAUAUUCAUUUUGGUGGUGGAGGAUGGUGGUGUAAACCCCUAAGGAACUUCAGGAUAUCGAAGAAUCUGUCCUAGCUCUCUGAGAACAAAUGAAGUGUAUAUAUAAGUUUGAACCUGCGAUCCAGUACGUAAUUACCUUACAGAAUAUUUCCCAGUUGUUAAUCCAAAGUUUACAUGCUGUGAAUUAAGCCAUUUUCCUUUUUUUUUUUUUU